UACGGAGGGUGCAAGCGUUAUCCGGAUUCACUGGGUUUAAAGGGUGCGUAGGCGGGCCGGUAAGUCAGUGGUGAAAUCCUGGGGCUUAACCCCAGAACUGCCGUUGAUACUAUCGGUCUUGAAUGUUGUGGAGGUGAGCGGAAUAUGUCAUGUAGCGGUGAAAUGCUUAGAGAUGACAUAGAACACCAAUUGCGAAGGCAGCUCACUACGCAACGAUUGACGCUGAGGCACGAAAGCGUGGGGAUCAAACAGG
rnacentral:rRNA from 1 species